ACAGUAGAUGCAAGAUUAUCACUCUGAUCUUCAGUUUCCUAAAAGCAGGAGAUAAAACUCACAUGUGAAUGAUGCACUUCCUAUAAUAGAAUAAAAGUGUCAUCAAAGACAGGAAGGUGAGGCAAAAAGAAAUCUGUACAAGCAGCCAUUGUUAGAUAAACACUUAUCCUUCUAGCCACCUCUCCACUCAAGCAAUGACUAUAGCCCAAGCCCCUUUGCCUUGUCAUAUUUUUAUAAUUUAUUGCUCUUUGUGUAAUUCAGUAUAUAGGUGGUUGACUCCAACUUAGUCUUUAUUUCUUUAUAAAGGCUCCUGUGCCAUGUAAAACUUGUAUUAAAUAAAUCUGAUGCCUUUCUCUUGUUGCUCUGCCUUAGGUCAAUUUAAUUCUUGGACCCACUUUGGAUUUAUUUCUUGGACCCACUUUGGAAAAAUCACUAAAAAGGAUGACUCAGCCAGGGAAAUGAUUGUCAUUCCAACAGCAUGAACAGCAAACAAAGUAUGUUGUGCAAGCUUAGGCCAACACUGUUUCAAAACAGGCAUGAAAAUCUUUGACUAAAAAAGGGUAACAUGGCCACUUUCUACUGGUAAUUAUAUGAUAUUUUGCUUAGAUAAGAAGUUGAAAGCAGAAUCCACAUUAUAAAUGAUAAUUCAGCUUAAGGAAAAGAUGAGUGAUAAUAAAAAGGAAAACAAAUAUAGGGAAAUGAGUAAA
rnacentral:lncRNA from 13 species